rnacentral:rRNA from 1 species
UGCACUUAAGCAUAUCAAUAAGCGGAGGAAAAGAAACUAACAAGGAUUCCCCUAGUAGCGGCGAGCGAAGCGGGAAGAGCUCAAAUUUAUAAUCUGGCACCUUCGGUGUCCGAGUUGUAAUCUCUAGAAGUGUUUUCCGCGUUGGACCGCACACAAGUCUGUUGGAAUACAGCGGCAUAGUGGUGAAACCCCCGUAUAUGGUGCGGACGCCCAGCGCUUUGUGAUACACUUUCAAUGAGUCGAGUUGUUUGGGAAUGCAGCUCAAAUUGGGUGGUAAAUUCCAUCUAAAGCUAAAUAUUGGCGAGAGACCGAUAGCGAACAAGUACCGUGAGGGAAAGAUGAAAAGCACUUUGGAAAGAGAGUUAACAGUACGUGAAAUUGUUGGAAGGGAAACGCUUGAAGUCAGACUUGCUUGCCGGAGCUUGCUUCGGUUUGCAGGCCAGCAUCAGUUUUCCGGGGUGGAUAAUGACGGUUUGAAGGUAGCAGUCUCGGCUGUGUUAUAGCUUUCCGUUGGAUACAUCCUGGGGGACUGAGGAACGCAGCGUGCUUUUUGCGAAAGACUCGUCUUUUUCACGCUUAGGAUGCUGGUGGAAUGGCU